UAAGUGCUAGGGCCCCGAGAGGUGG
rnacentral:piRNA from 1 species